UGGGGAAUAUUGGACAAUGGGCGCAAGCCUGAUCCAGCAAUGCCGCGUGUGUGAAGAAGGCCUUCGGGUUGUAAAGCACUUUUAUCAGGAGCGAAACGCUGUCGAUUAAUACUCGGCGGAACUGACGGUACCUGAGGAAUAAGCACCGGCUAACUUCGUGCCAGCAGCCGCGGUAAUACGAAGGGUGCAAGCGUUAAUCGGAAUUACUGGGCGUAAAGCGUGCGUAGGCGGUGAGUUAAGUCUGUCGUGAAAUCCCCGGGCUCAACCUGGGAAUGGCGAUGGAUACUGGCUCGCUAGAGUGUGAUAGAGGAUGGUGGAAUUCCCGGUGUAGCGGUGAAAUGCGUAGAGAUCGGGAGGAACAUCAGUGGCGAAGGCGGCCAUCUGGAUCAACACUGACGCUGAGGCACGAAAGCGUGGGGAGCAAACAGGAUUAGAUACCCCCGUAGUCC
rnacentral:rRNA from 1 species